UCAAGAUCAACGCCAGAGCCUUAGAGGUGAAGGGUCCUCGAUGCGAGCUCGUUCACAUUUGAACCUUGAUUUCCAUCCCAUCAAGGAUGAAGCUAGGGCUACUGGAAAACGCAAGCUCAAAAUUGAAGCUUGGUUCUACUCCAGGAAGACCAGUGCUGUGAUUUGUACUGCNCAUGAUGAGGAUCUCAUCACCAGUGUCACUAAGGCCUAUAAACAGAGCACCACGCCACACCAGUUGCCACCAUCGUCCAUCAUACUGCUGCCCCCCCCUCCCUGCUCUUCUAUUCCCUCGC
rnacentral:misc_RNA from 1 species